GACGAAGGAUGCAAGCGUUAUCCGGAUUCAUUGGGUUUAAAGGGAGCGUAGGCGGAUUGGUAAGUCAGUGGUGAAAUCUUUGGGCUUAACCCAGAAACUGCCAUUGAUACUGCUGAUCUAGAGUACAGUUGCCGUUGGCGGAAUAUGACAUGUAGUGGUGAAAUACUUAGAUAUGUCAUAGAACACCGAUUGCGAAGGCAGCUAACGAAGCUGUAACUGACGCUGAGGCUCGAAAGUGAGGGGAUCAAACAGG
rnacentral:rRNA from 1 species